CCUAUUUUGGAAGUAAAGAGUACGAAAUAAAAGACUCCAAGAUAACAUGAGAAAAAUCUCAGGAGGAAUGUGCACAUUUAAAUAUAAACAGAUAUUACUAGUUAAAAAGGUAAAAGGAACAAAAGUAGCAACGAAUAUUGAGCAAGUAUGCUACAUGACCAAAUAGACAAGUACAGAUCAUGAGCCUGGUGUUUCCGGCUGGGAUGCUUCUUCACCCUAUCAAUGAAUUGGGGAA
rnacentral:lncRNA from 1 species